rnacentral:rRNA from 1 species
UGCUUUACACAUGCAAGUCGAACGGCAGCACGGACUUCGGUCUGGUGGCGAGUGGCGAACGGGUGAGUAAUAUAUCGGAACGUAUCCAAUAAUGGGGGAUAACUAAUCGAAAGGUUGGCUAAUACCGCAUACGCCCUACGGGGGAAAGCUAGGGAUCUUCGGACCUGGCGUUAAUGGAGCGGCUGAUAUCUGAUUAGCUAGUAGGUGAGGUAAAGGCUCACCUAGGCGACGAUAGUAGCUGGUCUGAGAGGACGACCAGCCACACUGGAACUGAGACACGGUCCAGACUCCUACGGGAGGCAGCAGUGGGGAAUUUUGGACAAUGGGCGAAAGCCUGAUCCAGCCAUUCCGCGUGAGUGAAGAAGGCCUUCGGGUUGUAAAGCUCUUUCGCAAGGGAAGAAAACUUAUCCUCUAACAUAGGGUGAGGUUGACGGUACCUUGAUAAGAAGCACCGGCUAACUACGUGCCAGCAGCCGCGGUAAUACGUAGGUGCGAGCGUUAAUCGGAAUUACUGGGCGUAAAGCGUGCGCAGGCGGUUUUGUAAGUCAGAUGUGAAAUCCCCGAGCUCAACUUGGGAACUGCGUUUGAAACUAUAAGACUAGAAUUUUGUCAGAGGGGGGUAGAAUUCCACGUGUACAAGUGAAAUGCGUAAAGAUGUGGAGGAAUACCAAUGGCGAAGGCAGCCCCCUGGGAUAAUAUUGACGCUCAUGCACGAAAGCGUGGGGAGCAAACAGGAUUAGAUACCUGGUAGUCCACGCCCUAAACGAUGUUUACUAGUUGUUGGUGGAGUAAAAUCCAUGAGUAACGCAGCUAACGCGUGAAGUAGACCGCCUGGGGAGUACGGUCGCAAGAUUAAGACUCAAAUUGAAUUGACGGGGGGCCCGCACAAGCCGGUGGAUUAUUGUGGAUUAAUUCGAUGCAACGCGAAAAACCUUACCUGGGCCUUGACAUGUUA